rnacentral:rRNA from 1 species
GACGAACGCUGGCGGCGUGCUUAACACAUGCAAGUCGAACGAAGCACUACUAGCUGAUCUCUUCGGAGUGAAGUAGGUAGUGACUGAGUGGCGGACGGGUGAGUAACGCGUGAGUAACCUGCCUUUCAGAGAGGGACAACAUUUGGAAACGAAUGCUAAUACCGCAUAACAUAUCUUUGUGGCAUCGCAGAGAUAUCAAAAGGAGUUAAAUCCGCUGAAAGAUGGACUCGCGUCCGAUUAGCUAGAUGGUGAGGUAACGGCUCACCAUGGCGACGAUCGGUAGCCGGACUGAGAGGUUGAUCGGCCACAUUGGGACUGAGACACGGCCCAGACUCCUACGGGAGGCAGCAGUGGGGAAUAUUGCACAAUGGGCGCAAGCCUGAUGCAGCAACGCCGCGUGAGGGAAGACGGUUUUCGGAUUGUAAACCUCUGUUCUUGGUGAAGAAACAAAUGACGGUAGCCAAGCAGCAAGCCACGGCUAACUACGUGCCAGCCGCCGCCGUAAUAC